UUUUUACCUUCUCUAAAAGCAGCAGAUAAAAGCUAUUCGUACGUGUGGUUUACUGUUGUGGUGGAGGUAAAAGUGACAAAGUAACAAUGGACAAACACUUGAAAUUUGUAACAAACGAAAAGCGUGCGGAUUCGUCAAAAGAAGAUUGCGAGAGCCGCAAGAACUCAAAGUGAGUAAGCGCCAAACGGGGCCUUCUCUUGUAUGGGACCAUUUUAAAAAAUGUGCAGGCAGCCAAGAGGCCAUAUGUAAUCAUUGCGGA